rnacentral:tRNA from 1 species
UUCUUGGUAGUGUAACGGCUAACAUAUCGCGCUUUCACCGCGAAGCUCCGGGUUCGAUUCCCGGCCAGGAAG